rnacentral:lncRNA from 10 species
GCUGGUUGGAAAUACCCUUUUUGAAGAAUCUGCAAAGGGGCAUUUCAGAGUCCACUGAGACCCAUAGUGAAAAAUAAAACAUCCAGUGACAAAAACGACUUGUUGGAAACACUCUUUUUGAAGAAUCUGUGGAGGGACGUUUCAGAACUCACUGAGGCCCACAGUGAAAAAACAAAUAUCCUGUGAUAAAAACGACUGGUUGGAGACACUCUUUUUGAAGAAUUUGUGAAGAGACAUUUUGAAGUCCACUGAGACCCAUAGUGUAAAAUCAAAUAUCCCAUGAUAAAAAUGAGUAAGAAGAUAUAUGUGAAACUGCUUUGUGUUGUGUGCAUUCAGUUCAAGGAGGUAAACUUUUCUUUUGAAUCAGCAGGUUGGAAACACUUUUUUUGUACAAUCUGGGAAGGGACAUUUUGGAGCCCACUUAUUAGUGAAAAACCGAAUAUCUAACAAUAAAAACUAGAAGAAAAUGAUGAGCAAUACUGCCUUGUGAGGUGUGGAUUACCUUAAAGAGUAAAACCUUCCCUUUGAUUCAGUAGGUUGGAAACAAUGUUUUUGUAGAAACUGCACAGGGACAUGUUGGAGCCCACUGAGGCCUAUAGUGAAAAACCAAAUAUUCAGCAAUAAAAACAUGAAAGAAGCUACCUGUGAAACUGAUUUGUGAUGCGUGGAUUCAGCUCACAGAAUUAAACUUCUUUUGAUUCAGCAGGUUGGAAACCCUCUUUUGUAGAAACUGAGAAGAGUCGUUUCGGAGCACAUGAAGGCUUACAGUGAAAAAUCGAAUAUCCCAUGAUAAAAACUAGAAAUAAUCUAUCUGGGAAACUGCUUUGUGAUGUGCUUCAGUUCACAGAGGAAAACAUUUCUUUUGAUUCAGCAGGCUGGAAACUCUUUUUUGUAGAAUCUACAAUGGGACAUAUAGCAACCCAAUGAGACCUCUCUUGGAGAACAGAAUAUCCUGUGAUAAAAACUAGAAAGAAGCUAUAUAUGAAACUGCUUUGUGAUGUGUGGAUAUGGUUCACAGAGGUGGGAAGCACUGUUUUUUUAGAAUCUACAAUGGGACAUUUCAAAGCCCACGUAGGCCUAUAGUGAAAAACCUAAAAUCCCACAACAGAAACUGGUUGGAAACACUCAUCUUGUAGAAUCAGCGAAGGGGUGUUUCAAAGCCCACAAAGGCCUACAGUGAAAAGCUGAAUAUCCUGUGAUAAAAACAAGAAAGAAGCUAUCUGUGAAACUACUUUGUGAUGUGUGGAUUUAACUAAUAGAGAUAAACCAUUCUUUUAAUUCACGAGGUGGGAAACACUCUUUUUGUAGAUCCGCGAAGGGACAUUUCAAAACCCAAUGAAGCCUAUAGUGAGAUACCAAGUAUCCCACAAUGAAAACUAGAAAUAUAAACUAGAAAAAUACUGUCUUUGCAACUAUUUUGUGAUAUGUGGAUUCAGUUCAAACAGUUAAAUCUUUUGAUUAAGCACUUUGGAAACACUCUUUUUGCAGACUAUGGCAAGGGAUACUUCAGAGCCCACUGAGGCCUAGAGUAAAAAACAGAAUAUCACGCAAUAAAAACAAGAAAAAUGCUAUUUGUGAAACUGCUUUGUGAUGUGUGGAUGAAGCUGACAGAGUUAAACCUUUAUUUUGAUUCAGCAGGUUGAAAAUACUAUUUUGUAGAACAUGGGAAGUCUCUUUUCUGAGCCUAGUGAGGUCUAUAGUGGAAAACUGAAUAUCAGGUGGUAAAAACUAGAAUGAUCCUAUCUGUGAAACUCCUUUGUGGUGUGUGAAUUCAGAUAAAAGAGUUAAACUUUUCUUUUGAUUCAGCACAUUGGAAACACUCAUUUUGAAGCAACUGCCAAAAAACACUUUGGAGCAUACUGCAGCCUAUAGUGUAAGACAGAAUAUCCUAUGAUAUAUACUAGAAAAAAAGUUGUCUGUGAAACUGCUUUGUGAAGUGUGGAUUCAUCUCAAAGAGUUAAACCUUUCUUUUGUUUCAGGAGUUUGGAGACACUCUUCUUGUAGAGUCUGCGAGAAGACAUUUUGGAAUUCACUGAGGGCUAUAGUAAAAGAUCAAAUAUCCUCAAGAAAAACUAGAAACUAUCUGUGAAACUGCCUUGUGAUGUGUGCUUUCAUCCCAGGGAGUUAAACUUUUCUUUUGAUUCAGCAGAUUGGAAACACUCUUUUUGUUGAAUCUGUGAAGGGACAUUUCAUAGCCCGUGGAGGCCUACAGUGAAAAACCAAUUAUCCCAUGAUAACAACUAGAAAGAAGUUAUCUGUCAAACUGCUUUGUGAUAUGUGAAUUCACCACAAAGAGUUAAAUCUUUCUUUUGUUGCAGCACGUUGGAAACACUUUUUCUGUAGAAUCUGCGAAGGGAUAAUUCAGAGCCAACAGAUGUGUAGAGUGAAAAACUGAAUAUCCUACAAUAAAAACUAGAAAUAAGCUAUCUGUGAUACAGCUAUUUGAUGCGUGGGUUCAGCUCACAGAGUUAAACCUUUCUUUUGAUUCAACAGGUUAUAAACAGUCUUUUGUAAAACCUGCAAAGGGACAUUGUAGAACCCACUGAGGGCUAUGUAAAAAAAAAAGAAUGUCUCACUAUAAAAACUAGAAAUAAGCUGUCUGUUAUACUGCUUUGUGAUGUGUGCAUUCAGCUCACAGAAUUGAACCUUUAUUUUCAGGCAGCAUGGUGGAAACUCUGUUUUUGUAGAAUCUGCAAAGGGAUAGUUUGGAGCCCACUGAGGCCUAUAGUGAAAAACUGAACAUCCAGUGAUAAAAACUAGAAAGAGGCUAUCUGUGAAGCUGCUUUGCAAUGUGUGCAGUCAACUCACAGAGAUAAAUUUUUGUUUUGAUUCAGCAGGUUGGAAAUUCUCUUUUGUAGAAUCUGUGAAGAGACAUUUUAGAGGUCACUUAGGUCUAUAGUGGAAAACAAAAUAUCUCAUGAUAAGAACAAGAAAGAAGCUAUCUGUGAAACUGCUUUGUGAGGUGUGCAUUCAGCUCACAAAGUUAAAGCUUUCUUUUGAUUCAACAGGUUGGAAACACUGUUUUUGUAGAAUUUGCAAAUGGGCAUUUCGGAGCCCACUGAGGUCUACAGUGAAAAACAGGAUAUCCCAUGGUAAAAAUUAGAAAGAAGCUGUCUGUGAAACUGCUUUGUGAUGUGUGCAUUCACUCACAGAGUUAAAUCUUUCUUUUGAUUCAGCAAGUUGGAAACACUCUUUUUGUAGAAUCUGUAGAGAAAUAUUUCAGAGCCCACUGCAGAGUAUAGUGAAAAAUUGAAUAUUUUGCAAUAAAAACUAGAAAGAAGCUAUCUGUGAAACUGAUUUGUGAUGGGUGGAUUCAGCUCACAAAGUUAACUGUUUCUUUUGCUUUAGCAGUUUGGAAACUGUUUUUGUAGAAUCUGCACAGGGACAUUUUGGAGUCUACAAAGGCCUUACAUGAAAAACUAAAUAUUUUGCGAUCAAAACGAUGAAGAAGCUAUCUGUGAAUUGUUUUGUUAUGUAUGGAUUCAGCUCACAGAGUAAAACCUUUCUAUUAAUUCAUCUGGUUGGAAAACUCCUUUUGGAGAAUCUGAGAAAAGACAUUUUGCAGCCCACUGAGGUCUAUAGUGAAAAACUGAAAAUCCUGCAGUAAAAACUGUAAAGAAGCUGUCUGUUAAACUGUUUUGUGAUGUUUGCAUUCAGCUCACAGAGUUUACCUUUCUUUUCAACCAGUAGGUUGGAAACACUCUUUUGAUAUUAUCUGUGAAGGGACAUUUGGAGCCUUCUGAGGCCUAUAGUGAGAAACAGAAUAUCCCAAAAUAAAAACCAGAAAGAAUUUAUCUAUGAAACUAUUUUGUGAUGAGUGCACUCAGCUCACAAGCUCACAGAAUUGUAACUUUCUUUUGAUUCAACAGAUUGGAAAUGCUCUUUUUGAGGAAUCUAGGAACAGAUAUUUUGGAGCCCACUGACGCCUAUAGUGAAAAAGUGAAUAUCCCAUAAUAAAAAUUAGAAAGAAGCUGUCUGUGAAACUACUUUGUGAUGUGUGCAUUCAGCUCACAGAGUUAAACUUUUUUUUUUUUUAUUCAGCAGGUUGGAAACAGUCUCUUUGUAGAAUAUGCAAAGGGACAUUUCAAAGCCCCCUGAGGUGAAUGGAGAAAAACCAAAUAUCUUGUGAUAAAAACUAGAAAGAAGCUAUCCAUAAAGCUGCUUUCUGAUGUGUAGAUUUAGUUCACAGAGUUAAAUCUUUAUUUGAUUCAGCAGUUUGGAAACACUCUUUUUGUAGAAUCUGCAAAGGGAAGUUUUGGAGCCUUCUGAGGCCUAUAAUAAAAAAACAAAAUAUCCCAUAAUAAAAAUUACUAAGAUACUAUCUGUUAAACUGCUUUCUGAUGUGUGGAUUAAACUCACAGAGUUAAAACUCUCUUGUGAUUCAGCAGGUUGGAAACACUGUUUUUGUAAAACCUGUGAAGGGACAUAUCGGAGCCCACUGAGGCCCAUACUGAGAAACAAAAUAUCCCACUACAAAAACAAAAAAAGCUAACUGUGAAACCACUUUGUGAUGUGUGCAUUUAGUUCACAGAGUUAAACCUUUCUUUUGCUUCAGCAGGUUGAAAACACUUUUUUUUGUAUAAUCUAUGAAGGGACAUUUCAGAGCCGAAUAGGCCCAUAGUGAAAAACCGAAUAUCCUGUUAUUAAAAAAACUAGAAAUAAACUAUUUCUGAAACCACAUUGUGAUGUGUGCAUCCAGCUCACAGAGUUAAACCUUUGUCUUGAUUAAGCAGGUUGGAAACACUUUUUUUGUAGAAUCUGCGAAGGGACAUUUCAAAGCCCACAGACACCUAGUUUGAAAAGCAGAAAUUCCCACAAAAUAAACUAGAAAUAAACUAUCUGUGAAAAUGCUUUGUGAUGUGUGGAUUCAGCUCACAAAGUUAACCCUUUCUUUUAAUUUAGCAGGUUGGAAACACUUUUGUUGUAGAAUCUGUGAAUAGACAUUUUGGAAUCUACUGAGGCAUAACCUGAAAAACUGAAUAUUUCACAAUCAAAACUAGAAAAAAAAACUAUCUGUGAAGUUGUUUUGUGAUGUAUGGAUUCAGCUCAUAGAGGUUGGGAACACUCUUUUUCUGGAAUCUGCAAGAAGACAUUUUGAAGGAAACUGAGGCCUAUAGUGAAAAACUGAAUAUUCUACAAUAAAUACUAGAAAGAAGCUAUCUGUGAAACUUCUUUGUGAUGUGUUGAUUCAACUCAUAGAGUUAAACCUUUCUUUGGAUUCAGCAGGUUGGAAUCACUCUUUUUGUAGAAUUUGUGAAGGGACAUUUUUGAGCCCAUUGAGGCCUCUAAUGAAAAACGAAAUAUCCCCAGCUAAAAACUAAAAAGAAGAUAUCAGUGAAACUGUGCUGUGGUUUGUGGAUUCAGCUCACAGAGUUACACCUUUCAUUUUAUUCAGCAAAUUGGAAACACUCUUCUUGUAGAAUCUGUGAAGGGAAAUUUGAGGCCCACUGGAGCCUACAGUGAAAAACAAAAUAUGCCUUGAUGAAAAAUAAACAGGAGCUAUAAGUGAAACUGCUUUGUGAUGAGUGGAUUCAGCUCAACGAUUUAAAUGACAUUUUUGAUUCAACAGCUUGAAGACACUCUUUUAAUAGGUUCAGUGGAGGGAUAUUACUGAACACACAGAGACCUAUAAUGAAAAACUGAUUGUUCUGCAAUGAAAACUAGAAAGAAGUUAUCUGUGAAAGUGCUAUAUAAUGUGUGGAUUCAGCUCACACAGUUAAACUUUCUUUUGAUUCUGUAGGUUGGAAACACUCAUUUUGUAGAAUCUGUGAAGGGAUACUUUGGAGCAAACUGAUGCCUAUAGUAAAAAACCGAAUAUCCCAUGUUAAAAACUACAAGAACCUAUCUGUGAAACUGCUAUGUGAUGAGUGUAUUGAGUUAACAGAGUUAGACCUUUCCUUUGAUUUAGCAGGUUUGGAACACUCUUUUUGUAGAAUCUUCCCGAGGAUAUUUCGGAGCCCACUGAAAACCAUAGUGAAAAAACAAAUAUACAGUGAUGAAAACUAGAAAGAAGCUGUCUGUGAAACUGCUUUGUGAUGUGCAGAUUCAGCUCACAGAGUUAAAACUUUCUUUUUAUUCAGCAGUUUGGAGACCCUUUUUUUCUAGGAACUGUGAGGGGACAUAUCAGAGCUUACUGAGGCCUAUAGUGAAAACCCAAAUAAUCCACAAUAAAAACUAAAAGGAAGCUGUCUGUGAAACUGUUUUGUGUUGUGUGGAUUAAGCUUAGAGAAUUAAACCUUUCUUUUGAUUCAGCAGGUUGGAAACACUCUUUUUGUCGAAUCUGUGAAGGGACUUUUGGUGGCCAAUGAGGCCUAUAGGGAAAACAAAAUAUCCAUCAAUAAAAUCUACAAAGAAGAAAUCUGUGAAACUCCUUUGUGAUGUGUGGAUUCAGCUCACAAAGUUAAACCUUUAUUUAGGUUCAUUAAGUUGCAAACACUCUUUUUGUAGAAUCUGUAAGGGUACAUUUCAGAUCACACUGAGAACUGUAGUGAAAAACUGAAUAUUCCUCAGUAAAAACUAGAUAGAAGCUAUCUGUGAAACUUCAUUGUAAGGUGUGCAUUCAACUCACAGAGUUCAAACUUUCCUUUGAUUCAGCGUGUUGGAAACACUCUUUUUGUAAAGUCUUCAAAAAGAUAUUUGAAGCAAACUGAGGCCUAUAGUAAAAGCUGAAUAUCUUGCCAUAAAAACUAGAAGAAAUCUAUCUGUGAAACUUCUUUGGGAUGUGAGCAUUCAGCUCACAGGAUUAAACCAUUCUUUUGAUUCAGCAGGUUGGAAACACUCUUUUUGCAGAAUCUGUGAAGGGAUAUUUCCAAGUCCAUGGAGACAUAUAGUGAAAAACUGAAUGUCCCAUGAUGAAAACUAGAAGGAAGCUCUCUGUGAAACUGCUUUGUGAUGUCUGACUUUCCUCAGAGAGUUAAAACUUUCUUUUAAUUCAGCAGGUUGGAAACAACCCUUUUUGUAAGAUCUUCAAAAUGACAUUUGAAACCCGAUGAGGCCUAUAGUGAAAAACUGAACAUUUCGUUAUUAAAAAAAAAAAAAAAAAAAAAAAACUAGAAAGAACCUAAGGUGAAGGGACAUUUCAAAGUACAGAGAUACCUAUAGUGAAAACCCGAAUAUUCUGUGAUAAAAAUUAGAAAGAAGUUACCUGUGAAAGUGCCAUGUGAUGUGUUGAUUCGACUCACAGGGUUAAACCUUUCUUUUGAUUCCAUAUGUUGGAAAAACUCAUUUUGUAAAAUCUGUGAAGGGAUAUUUAGGAGCAAACUGAGGCCUAUAGUGAAAAACGAAAUAUCUCAUGAUAAAAACUACUAAGAAGCUAUGUGUGACACAGCUUUGUGAUAUGUGCAUUCACCUCACAGAGCUAAACCUUUCUUUUGAUUCACCAUUUGGAAACACUCUUUCUGUAGGAAAUGCGAGGGGACAUAUCCGAGGCCACUGAGGCCUAUAGUAAAAACUCAAAUAUUCUGCAAUAAAAACUAGAAAGAAGCUAUCUGUGAAACUGCUUUGUGAUGUGUGGAUUCAGCUCACAGAGUUAAACCUUUCUUUUGAUUCAGCAAAUUUGAAACACUCCUUUUAAAGAAUCCACAAAGAGACAUUUUGGAGCCCAAUGAGGUCUAUGGUGAAAAACUGAAUUUCUGCCGAUUAAAACUAGAAAGAAGCAAUCUGUGAAACUGUUUUGCGAUGUGUGGAUUCAGCUCACAGAGCAAAACUUUUCUUUUGAUUCAGCAGGUUGGAAACCCUCUUUUUGUACAAUCUGUGAAAAGGCAUUUCACAGCCCACUGAGACCUAUAGUGAAAAACUGAAUAUCCCGUGAUAAAAACUAGAAAGAUGCUAUCUGUGAAACUCCUUUGUGAUGUCUGGAUUUUGCUCACAGAGUUAAAACAUUCUUUCAUUCAGCAGGUUGAAAACACUCUUUUUGUAGGAUAUGCAAAAAAAAAUUUCAAAGCCCACAGGGGCUGACAGUAAAAAAAAAAAAAAAAGGAAAAGAAAAUCCUAACAUUUUGUGAUUAAAAACUAGAAAGAAUCUAUCUGUGAAGCUGCUUUGUGAUGUGUGGAUUCAGCUCGCAGAGUUAAACCUGUCUUUUGAUUCAGCUGGUUGGAAACACUCUUUUUGUAUAAUCUGCAAAGGGACAUUUCAGAGUCCACUGAGACUUACAGUGAAAAACAAAAUAUCCUAUGAUAAAAACUACACAGAAGAUAUCUGUGAAACUGAUUUUUGAUGCGUAGAUUCAGCUUAUAGAGAUAAUUUUUUUUGAUUCAGCAGGUUAGAAACACUCUUUUCGUAAGAUCUGCAAAGAGACAUUUCAGAGCACACAGACCUACAGUAAAAAAAUAUAUAUAUAAAAACUAGAAACAAGCUAUCUGUGAAAGUGCUAUGUGAUGUGCCAUUUCAGCUCACAGAGUUAAAUUGUUCUUUUGAUUCAGUGGGAUGGAAACACUCAUUUUGUACAAUCUGUGAAGGGAUAUUUCAAUGCAACCUGAGGCUUGUAAUGAAAAACCCAAUAUCCAGCUAUAAAACUACAAAGAAGCUCUCUGUGAAACUGCUUUGUGAUAUAUGCAUUCAUUUCAGAGAGUUAAAACAUUCUUUCAACUCAGCAAGUUGGAAACCCUCUUUUUGUAGACUCUGCAAGGGAGGGGACAUUUAGGAACCGACUGAGGCCUAUAGUAAACAAGUGAAUAUUUCCUGAUCAAAACUAGAAAGGAGCUAUGGGUGAUACUGCUAUGUGAUGUGUGCAUUGAGUUCAGAGUCAAACCUCUUUCUGGCUUUAGCAGGUUGGAAACACUCUUUUUGUAGAAUUUGUGAGGGGACAUUUGGAGCCCACUGAGGCCUAUAGUGAAAAACAGAAUGUCCCACAAUAAAAACUAGAAAGAAGCUAUCUUUGAAACUGCUUUGUGAUGUGUGCAUUCAGCUCGCAAACUUAAAUUUUUCUUUGAUUCAACAUAUAGGAAACACUCUCUUUGAAGAAUCUGCGAGGUGACUUUUCUGACCCCACUGAGGCCAAUAGUGAAAAACCAAAUAUCCUGCAAUAAGAAUUAGAAAGAAGCUAUCUGUGAAACUUCCUUGUGAUGUGUGGAUUCAGCUCACAGAAGGAAACUUUUCCUUUGAUUAUGCAGGUUGAAAACCCUCUUCUUGUAGAAUCUGUGAAGGGAUAUUUCAGAGCAAACUGAGGCUUAAAGUGAAAAACUGACUAUUUCCUGAUAAAAACUAGAAAGAAGUUAACUGUUAAACUGCUUUGUGACGUGUGCAUUCUGCUCACAGAGUUAAACAUUUCAUUUCUUUCAGCAGGUUGGAAAUACUCUUUUUGUAGAAUAUGCAAAAGUACAUUUGGGAGAUCAUUGAGGCCUAUGGUGAAAAACUGAAUAUCCUGUAAUAAAAACUAGAAAGAAGCUAUCUGUAUAACUGCCUUGUGGUUUGUUGAUUCAGCUCACAGAAUUACACCUUUCUUUUG